UGGUGUGCUUCAAGCGCGUUGGACCCACGCCGUUCCAUCCCGAACCGGGCCGUGAAACGACGCAGCGCCGCUGGUACUGGCGGGUUACCUGCUGGGAGAGCACGUCCGUGCGCCCC
rnacentral:rRNA from 1 species